GCCACCUCACCCUUUCUAGGCUAGAGACCAAGUUCUACUUAAAACCUGGAGGGAGACUGGACUGAAUCACCAACUAGCCCCUCAAAGGGUAAGACCCUAUGAGGUCCUUCUGACCACGCAUUCAUCAAUUGGGCAGGAGUUAAACCGUGGGUACAUUAUACCUGGAUAAAAAUUGCCCCCGCCUCAGCCCGACCUAUCAGGUUAAUAGACCUGAAAGGACAUGUGAACCAACUAAAAACCUGAAGCUGCUUUUGAAGAAAACAUCCACAGAUAAGUAAAGCCUUCUUGCUAAGCACCACAGUACUAUAUGGCUUACGGUGUCUGCUGAAACCAAUCUUUUCCUACAAUGGGCACAUUAUGCAGAUAGCCUACAGAAGCUCGUAGGGUUUGAGGGCUGUUACCUAUCUCUAGCAUGUUGGUAUUACCUUGGUCGGUCUUGCUCUUACAAGGAAACAACUGAGUACAGUAACAAACUUUUAUGAAAAACUAUUCCAAAGAAAAUCAGGUCUCUGGUGUGCUAACACGAGGAAAUGUAAGGCUAUGGCCUGGCAUUAAUAUAACCCUUCACAACCCAGGUCACAGAAAAUCUUUUACUAUAUAUCAGACUGUUCAACGAACUUUUGAAUACACUGCUCCUCCUCUCCUGAAGGAAUUUCCCUUGGCAGCCCCCCAAAUUUUGGCUAUUAAUAGCCACUAUACUGAGGAAGGUUUUUAUCAAGCUUGGGAUGAUUAUCUUUGAAUGACUGUGUUCCCCUACCCUUAUCCUGCCACCGGCCACAUAAAUCAAAUUGCCCCUUUAUGUUGGGAACAACAACAAAAAAAAAAACAGCAUUCUUAUGAUAACUGGCCAAAUAUCACUAAGAAUAUGGGCUGGAUGCUCCCCCCACCAGUGUGAACAUACUCCAGGGCUGCAACAAACUGACUGGUUUGCUACCAAUUGGACACAGGCCAGGAAUUCAAUUGGCUAGCUUCAUACGGAGUGCAAUGGCUAUGUGGGACUAAUCUUUGGCCCUGAUUACCCAUUGGCUAGAUAGGACAAUAUGCUCUGGGAUUCUCACAGGUCCAGGGCCAUUUGGCAAAAACCAACGGACAACCUGGAAAUUUCCCAAAUGUGUUGCAUCAACGGACCAAGUCAGUUUUCCACUGCUACACAAGGAGAACUUGUGCCAUAAUGAAAACUGAAUGCUAUGUGUACAUUCCAGACAAUUCAGGAAACAUCACCCUGGCCCUUCAAGAUAUGUACAAACUGAUGCUGUGUCCAACCUCAUGAUGUCACUAAACCAAUGAUUAUCUUAAUACUUCCGGUCAGUACCCUCUUGGUGGAAAAAAUUACUGGUAAUUCUAGCUAUGACUAUAGGAACAGGAAUACUCCUUGGCUGUGGAUUAUACUGCUGUGGCACUAUAUAUGUGGGAUUGCAAGAUCGCCCUUCUCAAGCUCCUGACACCCUGUUCAACAAUGUUACAACAAAAUUGCCUAAGUCCCGGGACAUGUGAAUAUUUUCAACUGCAGGUAAGUAAGUUCCAUUCCUCAGCCCCCUAGGAAUGCCCCUUGCCAGCGGGAAGUAGUUAGACUGAGUCAACACCCCAACUGAAGAUUGAGGAAAGGAACAGUGUCAGUGGGGAUACUGUAACCCAGCCUAUAUUAGAAAAAUCAUCAGGUGUUUAUUUUACUUAUUUUUCUUUCUCUGUCCUUAGCUUCCUCCAGGCAGGAUCGCUCGCACGUAGUCAUUUUGGUAGAGAGCAGUCACUAACAAGUGAUUAACUUUAUAUCCUAACCCCCAGGGGCUGCUUGCAAGAUUAACGUACUUGUUUUUCUUUUAAAGAACAAUGAUCCUUAGGUCAUACUGACCUCCCUGAUGGCAUCCAGAAAUUUGACUGGCCAAGGGACACGAGCAGCUUUGAUCAUCAGGGAAAGCCCCCAAUUACAUGCAAAGGAAGGUCAUAUUUGAGAAUCUGCUUCUCCCACCCUCAUACUUUGGCCAAAUUGAAUAAACCUUUCUAAGCAUUAAUGUGUCAGUGUUUGGCUUACUGUGCACCGGGUACAUGAACCUAACUUUUGGGGUUCUACAACAGCAACCUGACUGAGCUAAUCACGUACAGCCAAGAACAGCUGAGCUACAGUAGCUCCUUAAAAUCAGGGUCCAGAUGUUGUUCAUAGAUGAGAGAAGAGAAAAUAACUAUCACAUGCAGCAUCAGACAUUCAAUGACACAAAUCCUCAAAAUCAGAUGCUUUAAAAAAUGAAGCCAAUGGCUGGGCAUGGUGGCUCAUGCCUGUAAUCCCAGCACUUUGGGAGGCCAAGGCAGGAGGAUCGCUUGAGCUCAGGAGUUCAAGACCAACCUGGGCAACAAAGUGAGACCUUAUCUCUAUCAAAAAUUUAAAAAUAAAUUAAUUAAAAUAAUUUAAAAAUGAAGCCAGGUUGCUCAAGUAUUCAUCAAGUAUUUACUGAGGCUUACUAUGUGUUAUGAUGAUGAGACACUUCUUUGAGCCAUCAAAGGUUUCUGGCUUCCUCUGCAACUAAAAAUAAUUACCCUCCCCAAUGAAGGGUCUGUGUGUUCCACAGGUAUAGCAGCAGAAGAGACAACUUGGAAAAAGUGAAGGUAGGCCAGGCACAGUGGCUCAUGGCUAUAAUCCUAACACUUUGGGAGGCUGAGGUGAGUGGAUUCGCUUGAGCUAAGGAGUUUGAGACCAGCCUGGGCAACAUGGCAAAACCUGGUCUCUAUUAAAAAAAAUACAAAAAAUUGGCCAGGCAUUGUAGUCCACACCUGUAGUCUCAGCUACUAGGGAGGCUGAGGUGGGAGGAUCACUUCAGCCAGGAGGCAGAGGCUGCAGUGAGCCUAGAUGGCACCACUGCACUCCAGCCUGGGUGACAGAGCAAGACCCUGUCUCAAAAAAAAAAAAAAAAAAAAAGGUAAGCCACAACUCCACUUAAGAGGAGAGGCAACUGGAGAAAGAUCCCAGGAGGUUAUAUUCAACAACGGAGCAAUAACACAGUAGUCUUGCUAGACAUCCACAGCCUUUAAAUGGACAUAUUCUACUCUGUUUAUCACCUUUAUAAAAGUUUUCAAGUUUUCUGGAUAGUUCUACUCAGUUGAUGGCAAUUACCCUGCCAGGUAACUUACUCACUAUAAUUGAAUAAACCAGCAAUCUGGUUUAUCAGUCAGUCUCUCUUGCUCAAUUGACAAUCCCUAAAAGUUCAUCCAUUCCUGUGUGAGACCGUAUAUCUGACAAUUCAGUCAAAGGAAGUUGGUCAAAUCCCACAACUGACUGCCAAAGAAAGUAAUAUCUAAUCACAAAAAUACCACAAUUAAUUACAGGUAGUAACUAGGUUCUAAAGAAAUUAUCUCCUAAGUAGAUUUUAAUAUAAAUUUUGAACAGUU
rnacentral:lncRNA from 10 species